AUGUCUUUGGACAGUGAUGUCCUCGCACUGCCCAUUUUUAAGCAAGAAGAGUCAAGCUUGCCUCCCGAUAAUGAGAAUGAAAUUCUGCCUUUUCAGUAUGUACUCUGUGCCGCCACUUCUCCAGCAGUGAAACUCCAUGAUGAAACCCUGACAUAUCUCAAUCAAGGACAAUCUUACGAAAUUCGAAUGCUAGACAAUAGGAAACUUGGAGAACUUCCAGAAAUUAAUGGCAAGUUGGUGAAGAGUAUAUUCCGUGUGGUAUUCCAUGACAGAAGGCUACAGUACACAGAACAUCAGCAACUGGAGGGCUGGAAAUGGAACCGACCAGGAGACAGGAUUCUUGACAUAGAUAUCCCAAUGUCUGUGGGUAUAAUCGAUCCUAGGGCUAAUCCAACCCAACUAAAUACAGUGGAGUUCCUGUGGGACCCUGCAAAGAGGACAUCUGUCUUUAUUCAGGUACAUUGUAUUAGCACAGAGUUCACUAUGAGGAAGCAUGGUGGAGAAAAGGGGGUGCCAUUCCGAGUACAAAUUGAUACCUUCAAGGAAAAUGAAAAUGGGGAAUACACUGAGCACUUACACUCAGCCAGCUGCCAGAUCAAAGUCUUCAAGCAAAAGGUGCAGGACCAGAAAGCAAAAAACAGGAUAGAGAGAAAAAUGGAGAAACGAACACCAACACGAAAGGAGAAUAUACCAACCUUCUUAUGAAAACCAACUAUUCUCACAGAGUGUUCUCCAUGGCCUGAGAUCACAUAUGUCAAUUAA